AAUAAAGUGCCUGACAAAAAGGAUUAUUCUGAUAGGAUAAAUUAUGUAGUAUUUACUACCUUUAUU
rnacentral:tRNA from 1 species